UACGGAGGGUGCAAGCGUUAUCCGGAUUCACUGGGUUUAAAGGGUGCGUAGGUGGGCAGGUAAGUCAGUGGUGAAAUCUCCGGGCUUAACCCGGAAACUGCCGUUGAUACUAUUUGUCUUGAAUGUCGUGGAGGUGAGCGGAAUAUGUCAUGUAGCGGUGAAAUGCUUAGAGAUGACAUAGAACACCGAUUGCGAAGGCAGCUCACUACGCGAAUAUUGACACUGAGGCACGAAAGCGUGGGGAUCAAACAGG
rnacentral:rRNA from 1 species